ACGUCUCCGCCGGAGCAUCCGGGCCGGGCGGCCUCCGGGGCUGCCAGAGCAGCAGGAGACUGGGUGUGUUGCUGUAUUGCCCAGGCUGGUGUGGAACUCCUGGCCUCAAGCGAUCCUCCCACCCCAGCCUCCCAAAGUGCUGGUGUUACAGGCAGUAUACCUUAAAUGGCAAGAAGGAAAUAAAUCAUCUGACAUCACUCAGAUUGAAGAGGAGCUUUUUUUCCCCCGAUUGCCUUAAGAAGUAGCAUACUUUCCCAAGUAUCAUGAUAUUAGCUGGUUUGACAUCAAGUCAUUUGUG
rnacentral:lncRNA from 10 species